AGUGAACGCUGGCGGUAGGUCUAACACAUGCAAGUCGAACGGCAGCACAGUAAGAGCUUGCUCUUACGGGUGGCGAGUGGCGGACGAGUGAGGAAUACAUCGGAAUCUACUUUUUCGUGGGGGAUAACGUAGGGAAACUUACGCUAAUACCGCAUACGACCUACGGGUGAAAGCAGGGGAUCUUCGGACCUUGCGCGAUUGAAUGAGCCGAUGUCGGAUUAGCUAGUUGGCGGGGUAAAGGCCCACCAAGGCGACGAUCCGUAGCUGGUCUGAGAGGAUGAUCAGCCACACUGGAACUGAGACACGGUCCAGACUCCUACGGGAGGCAGCAGUGGGGAAUAUUGGACAAAGGGCGCAAGCCUGAUCCAGCCAUACCGCGUGGGUGAAGAAGGCCUUCGGGUUGUAAAGCCCUUUUGUUGGGAAAGAAAAGCAGCAGGUUAAUACCCCGCUGUUCUGACGGUACCCAAAGAAUAAGCACCGGCUAACUUCGUG
rnacentral:rRNA from 1 species